ACGGGAGGCAGCAGUGAGGAAUAUUGGUCAAUGGGCGAGAGCCUGAACCAGCCAAGUAGCGUGAAGGAUGACGGCCCUACGGGUUGUAAACUUCUUUUGCCGGGGGAUAAAAAACGGGACGUGUCCCGUCUUGCAGGUACCCGUGCGAAUAAGGACCGGCUAAUUCCGUGCCAGCAGCCGCGGUAAUACGGAAGGUCCGAGCGUUAUCCGGAUUUAUUGGGUUUAAAGGGUGCGUAGGCGGGAAGUCAAGUCAGCCGUAAAAUCGCCGGGCUCAACCCGGUCCCGCGGUUGAAACUGUCUUCCUUGAGUACACUAGAGGGCGAUGGAAUUCGUGGUGUAGCGGUGAAAUGCAUAGAUAUCACGAAGAACUCCGAUUGCGUAGGCAGUCGCCUGGGGUGCCACUGACGCUGAGGCACGAAGGUGCGGGUAUCAAACAGGAUUAGAUACCCUGGUA
rnacentral:rRNA from 1 species